UGUGGCUGCUGAAGAAUUCACCAAGUUAUGCUGGGUUUAUUGUGGCUGCCACAGAAAGAGAAGUCAUUUCAUGUUACAAGUUGUUGAAAAAGAUGUCUCUCAAGAAAUAUAUGUCCCUAAGCUUCAAUUAACAGACAGUCAAAGCAGAAAGGUACAGUAACUACACCAGUUCAUAUGCAAACAGUUCUUUGUUCGUUACAUCAGUUGUUAGUCGACAAAAUGAAUCACAACUGGGAAAAAAAUUAAGGAAGAGUAAGCGAGGAAAGGCUUUGAUAGAGUCUCCGAUACAUAUGGACAGCCUCCACAGACAGCAAAUGAGAGUCUUCCUUCUUCAGGGGCCAAACACCCAAGACUUCCACUGCUGGACCAACUAUCCAGAAUCAAAAAGCACCACUAUCUUGACAAGUCUGUUCGAAUCGCUAUGGUGUCCACUGUUGGAGGUCCAAAAACUCAGCUGACAUUCUCCAGAAGAUGUUUCAAAUGAGUCUCUUUUUGUGUUUUCUAAUCGGGACAGUUGUUUUUCGUCUGUCUAAGCAUUGAAAGUGGACAUUAAGUUUGUUUGAAAUGCAUUUAUUGACAUUUUUUUGUGGGAUAUACCGAUUUUGAGUGUUAGUUUUUGUGAUAAUUCAAAAAUUGAGAGUGUAUUUUGUGGGAAAUACUGAUGGUGACAGUUUUUUUAUGUACUGAAGGAAGGGACAGUUUAGUGACAGUUUAUUUUGUAGUGAAAGACAUUAAAAAAAACACAUUCAAUUUAAAUGCAGCAUUUGGAGGAAAAAGAGGCCUUACAUCAUUUUGUUAAAGAAGGCUCUAAGCCCUUGUCAAGGCAGAAUUAUUUUUUUUGUUAACAAUCAAGUUUCCUAUUCAACAACACAACUUCCAUAGUGUAAUGGUAAACACGUUCACUCUCAGUGAAAGAUCUAGGUUCAAAUCCUGGUGGAAGUCAAAAGUUGGAUGGAGACAUUUUUAGCUCAUCUAUUUUUUGAAAAAAAAUUAUGAGCUUUUGUCAUCACCUUGGCGUCGGCGUCGGCGUUGGCGUUGGCGUCGGCGUCCGGUUAAGUUUUGCGUUUAGGUCCACUUUUCUCAGAAAGUAUCAAUGCUAUUGCAUUCAAACUUGGUACACUUACUUACUAUCAUGAGGGGACUGGGCAGGCAAAGUUAGAUAACUCUGGCGUGCAUUUUGACAGAAUUAUGUGCCCUUUUUAUACUUAAAAAAUUGAAAAUUUUGGUUAACUUUUGCGUUUAGUUCCACUUUUCUCAGUAAGUAUCAAUGCUAUUGCAUUCAAACUUGGUACACUUACUUACUAUCAUGAGGGGACUGGGCAGGCAAAGUUAGAUAACUCUGGCAUGCAUUUUGACAGAAUUAUGUGCCCUUUUUAUACUUAGAAAAUUGACAAUUUUGGUUAAGUUUUGUGUUUAGGUCCAUUUUAUUCCUUAAGCAUCAAAGCUAUUGCUUUCAUACUUGCAACACUUACUAACUAUCAUAAGGGGACUGUGCAGGCAAAGUAAUGUAACUCUGACUGGCAUUUUGACAGAAUUAUGUGCCCUUUUUAUACUUAGAAAAUUGAAAAUUUGAUUAAGUUUUGUGUUUAGGUCCACUUUAUUCCUACAGUAUCAAAGCUAUUGCUUUCAUACUUGCAAGAUUUAUGAACUAUCAUAAGGGGACCGUGCAGGCAAAGUUAUGUAACUCUGACUGGCAUUUGGACGGAAUUAUGGGCCCUUUAUACUUAGAAAAUUGAAAAUUUGGUUAAGAUUUAUGUUUUGGUCCACUUUACCCCUAAAGUAUCAUAGAUAUUGCUUUCAUACUUGGAACACUCACAAACUAUCAUAAGGGUACAGUAAAAGGACAAGUUGCAUAACUCUGGUUGUCAUUGUUACGGAAUUAUGGCCCUUUUUUGACUUAGUAACUUUUAAUAUAUGGUUAAAUUUUGUGUUUCGAUCCACUUUACUUCUUAAGUAUCAAGGCUAUUGCUUUCAAACUUCAAAUACUUACAUGCUAUCAUGAGGUUACUGUACCUGGCAACUUGAAUUUUACUUUGACCUUUGAAUGACCUUGACUCUCAAGGUCAAAUUAUUAAAUUUUGCUAAAAUUGCCAUAACUUCUUUAUUUAUGAUUAGAUUUGAUUGAUACUUUGAUGAAACUACUCUUACCUGACAUACCACAAUAGACUCCACCCAAACCAUCCCCCGUGCCCUCCCCCCC